ensembl:miRNA
ACCGGAGGCCUUCUCUGCAGGGCUCUGUCUGAUAUGUUUGAUAUAUUAGGUUGUUAUUCAGUCCCAACUAUAUAUCAAACAUAUUCCUACAGUGUCCCGCUCUGUCUACAGACUUGU